rnacentral:rRNA from 1 species
GGCUCAGGAUGAACGCUAGCGGCAGGCUUAACACAUGCAAGUCGAGGGGCAGCGUGGAGCAGCAAUGCUCUGACGGCGACCGGCGGAAGGGUGCGUAACACGUGAGCGACUUGCCCGUCACAGGGGGGAUAACCGGCGGAAACGGCGACUAAUACCCCAUACGAUGCGAUGCUGCAUGGCAUUGCAUUGAAAGAUUCAUCGGUGGCGGAUAGGCUCGCGGGACAUUAGGCAGUUGGCGGGGUAACGGCCCACCAAACCUACGAUGGAUAGGGGUUCUGAGAGGAAGGUCCCCCACAUUGGAACUGAGACACGGUCCAAACUCCUACGGGAGGCAGCAGUGAGGAAUAUUGGUCAAUGGACGAGAGCCUGAACCAGCCAAGUAGCGUGAAGGAUGACUGCCCUAUGGGUUGUAAACUUCUUUUAUAAAGGAAUAAAGUCGGGUAUGCAUACCCGUUUGCAUGUACUUUAUGAAUAAGGAUCGGCUAACUCCGUG